UCAAGUUCCAAUUUUUGUGGGGUACCCACGUGGUGAUGUUCUGUACCACGGUUAAGGAGUAGUGACUGUGAGGUGAAAUGGGUCACGAACAUGAAGCUCAACUAUCUGUGGAAUCAGAGUCACCGGCUUUGCUUGAAGAAGAAGAAGAAGGAUAAGUUUUUUAAGUUCCCCUGGAUUCCGCUGAAGAUAUUAAGCCGGAGUAAAGUCCGGAUAGUGCAAAACACUGCAACCAGUCAGUGAGGUUGAUCAUGGAUCUCAGCAGUGGGGGGGACGAGACUGUAAAUUCGCUCAUUCGGUGGCAACGAUUCUUCACUUUCUUCCACUUGAAGUGCACCAUCCAGCAUGGAUUGCAAGCACAAUGCGCAGGUUUGAAGAUACUUGGAAUGAGCAACAACCGCAAGAGAUUCAGUUAGGCCGUGAGAAGGAAUCAAAGGGAGUAAGUAACAUGAAAGUAGGAGAACGUGUUUUCCUUCACAUUAGCUACUCUUGCAUGUGGCAAGGAGGGCAGUUUUUUCCUUCCCCAUUGUGCUGCUCUUGACUGGUCUUGUCACAACGUUGAGCUCGUCUAGUUAUCAAGAAUGUCGAGAAGUAUGUUCGUUACAAGAGCUCGAAGUACGCUGUUCACAAACUGUACCACGUGAAUAGUGGUAAUGACAGCUGAUCUUGUCUUGCAUGUGUGCAGUAAAUCAGACUGGGAUUUCUGACUGUUGUCUUGAUUGGAAUCAUAUUUCCAAACCUCGAAAAGGGUGCCAGGAGGGAUGGUGGUGGAGUAGCGCCUCGAGGCCUCAGAUCGUUUGGGAGUGGAUGGAAAUGAAGUGUUUCAAGGGGAGAAACCUUGUAGAAGCUAUGCAGCAAUACGGAAUGAUACCCACCUAUUUCUUUCCAGUAUUCUAACUCGUUUCAUGGGAAACUCAUGAAUUCAUGUUGAUCGAUUCAUCUUGUGGAUUACACUUAAUUAGCAGUUGCCAUGUACAUCAAGCUAAUAGGUCACAUACAGUAACUGCUGGGUUCGCAAGCACUCGCAUGUAUGGGUGAUGAUUCCAUUUAUCAACACAUGGGCGAGUACAAUAACAUUGCGAUUGCUGCAAAGAAUCUUGGGCAUGAUAAUCUUGCUGCCUGCAUGCUCCAACUACAUACCUUUGAGUAAGCCAUCGCUUCCUGAUCAGUGGUGACAUUUUUCUUUGUCCUUAGCAAUGGCAUGUGGUAUAAGCAAAACGAUGUGUUCUUACGAUGCUCUCGGGGUGACUUAUAAAUGUGCUGAUGUUUUUGAUAUUUUCAUACGAAUCCAGUCACAUUCUGAAAGUUGAGCAUUUGAUACUGUGAAUGGUGCCGCCACCAACCAUGAAUGGAUCAAAAAACACGAAGGGCCUUCUGAUGCGAGACCGUGAAGCUGGGCUUGAUAUUUUCAACUGUUCUCCAACAGAGUCUCGAAAGUCCGAAAACAUUCAUGAGUUGGUGGAUUGCUCGACGUGACUGCGCAAGAUCCAAAUGUAACCAAAGCUCUGUUUCUUCGUGGGAAAGCACACGCAGGGGCUUUGCCAAUCGACUAAUGUGAACUUUAAGGUAAACAGCGAAAGUUGUACAACGUCCUCUUUAAACAGUCCCUGCUAAUACUACCCCAUAGAACAGGCUUGCCUGUUGGUUUUCCAAGAUUCAGCAACUGGUUGUUUCAGUGCAACUACACAUUUCCGAGGCCAACAGUCCACGGAAGAAUCACCCCCUCAAAUCACAAGUCAUGAUGUCCCCGUUUCUCCUCAACUAACAGAAACAAGAUGAUUUGAGUGAUUUCAGUAUUGUAAUUAUUCAAUGUUAAAACUAAUUUUUCAGUAGGGUUGGAGGAGGCAAAAGUUUGUGGGAAGCGACAACAACGAAGUAUGAUGCUUCAGCUUACACUGUGAACCAGGUUUACAAAUGCUUGUCAUUGAUUGAAUUAGUGCUUCAAGGAUGGCUACAGAAAUGAUGCUCUGGAGACAUUUUAGAUGAAUCAUAAUUUGCGAAGCUGUUGCUUGACAAUGCGUAGGAGAUUUAUUUCAAGCUCGUGGCUACUAAUUAGAAGAAGGCAUUGCAUUAUUUGUUUCAAGGAACAGAUGGAUAUUGAAUAUUCAAUAAAUUAUCAUGCUAUAAGCAAUGUGUUUA